rnacentral:rRNA from 1 species
AUUGAACGCUGGCGGCAGGCCUAACACAUGCAAGUCGAGCGGAGCGGCGGUCGGGUGAGUAAUGCCCAGGAAUCUGCCUGGUCCUGGGGGAUAAAGUCCGGAAACGGGCGCUAAUACCGCCUACUAUUAGAUGAGCCUAUGCCCGAUUGGCAAGGUGGUGGGGUAAAGGUCUACCAAAGCGACGAUCCCUAGCUGGUCUGAGAGGAUGAUCAGUCACACUGGAACUUAUACACGGUCCAGACUCCUACGGGAGGCAGCAGUGGGGAAUAUGGGACAAUGGGCGAAAGCCUGAUGCAGCCAUGCCGCGUGUAUGAAGAAGGUCUUCGGAUUGUAAAGCACUUUAAGUUGGGAGGCGUUACCAGCAGAAGAAGCACCGGCUAACUGCGUGCCAGCAGCCGCGGUAAUUC